rnacentral:rRNA from 1 species
AUGAACGCUGGCGGCGUGCCUCAUCCAUGCAAGUCGAGCGAACAGACGAGGAGCUUGCUCCUCUAACGUUAGCGGCGGACGGGUGAGUAACACGUGGAUAACCUACCUAUAAGACUGGGAUAACUUCGGGAAACCGGAGCUAAUACCGGAUAAUAUAUUGAACCGCAUGGUUCAAUAGUGAAAGACGGUUUUGCUGUCACUUAUAGAUGGAUCCGCGCCGCAUUAGCUAGUUGGUAAGGUAACAGCUUACCAAGGCAACGAUGCGUAGCCGACCUGAGAGGGUGAUCGGCCACACUGGAACUGAGACACGGUCCAGACUCCUACGGGAGGCAGCAGUAGGGAAUCUUCCGCAAUGGGCGAAAGCCUGACGGAGCAACGCCGCGUGAGUGAUGAAGGUCUUCGGAUCGUAAAACUCUGUUAUUAGGGAAGAACAAAUGUGUAAGUAACUAUGCACGUCUUGACGGUACCUAAUCAGAAAGCCACGGCUAACUACGUG